rnacentral:lncRNA from 1 species
UUUGAAUAGAAAAAGGACGGUGAACAUCAUCAUCUUCAUCAGGCUAUCAUCACUCAUCAGCAAUCCAGGGCAUCUUCAUCUUCUCCGGCCUCCACCGUCUCCUCCGCCACAAACCCGCCACCGUCUCUGCGUCUCUGUCGUCUCCUCCGCUACAAACCCCCCACCCUCCGUCUACAAUUCAGCCCCUCAAACAAUAACCGCCACCACCGAAACCUUUUUUUACUCCUUCAGACUCCGGUCUCAAAUUGUCACCAUCAAUUGGAUAUAUUCGACACCAAAGGUAACACUUUUCAAAUAUUAUUCAAUCCCUGUUAAAUGAUUUCAAGCAAAACCAAUAGAAUUUAAUUUUGUGCCAUAUCAUUUAUUUUAAUUAUGGAUAUAUUUAUUUUAAAGGGUGUGUUAGAAUUUGAUAUCAUCGUUAUUUUUUAAUCCUUCUUGAUCAUUGAGUGUAAGGAAUAUGAAAUUCAGAGAAGCAUUGCCAAUUGUUAGUGAAGACAUAUAUGUUAUAAUAUGACAUUGUUCAUGGCCAAUGGAAGAAUCAUGACCUUAAGGUUAAGGACGAAAAAACCAUUCUCUUUGGUGAGAAGCCUAUCAUUCAUCAUUGUUUUUGGCGUCAGAAACAAGUUUCGCUUUUCCUGCAUGGCGUUUGGGAUUGGAAGGCAUUGGGAUUAGGCAUUAGCCCGAAGAUAAUACUAAAACCUGUUGCAUCGCGAAUUUGGCUAGAAUGGUGUAAAAAUGAUUUUUUGCACUAUUAUGACAAGAAUGGUGUGAGGUAAACGUUCAAGUACCAAUAA